rnacentral:lncRNA from 1 species
CCUCCACCACCACCAUACUACUACCACUCUCCUCCUCCUCCAGUCAAAUCACCACCGCCACCGUACUACUACCACUCCCCGCCUCCUCCGGUGAAAUCCCCACCACCACCAUAUUACUACCACUCACCACCUCCACCGGUGAAAUCUCCACCACCACCAUACUAUUACCACUCACCACCUCCUCCGGUGAAGUCUCCUCCACCACCAUACUACUAUCACUCUCCACCACCACCGGUGAAAUCUCCUCCUCCUUACUAUUAUCAUUCUCCACCUCCUCCGGUGAAAUCUCCUCCACCACCGUACUACUACCAUUCUCCACCUCCUCCAGUCAAGUCUCCACCACCACCGUACUACUAUCAUUCACCACCUCCUCCGGUGAAAUCUCCACCACCACCAUACUAUUACCACUCACCACCCCCACCUGUGAAAUCUCCUCCUCCACCAUACUACUAUCACUCACCUCCUCCUCCGGUGAAAUCUCCACCACCACCAUACUAUUACCAUUCACCACCCCCUCCAGUCAAAUCUCCUCCUCCACCAUACUACUACCACUCACCACCUCCUCCAGUGAAAUCUCCACCACCACCAUACUAUUACAACUCUCCACCACCACCGGUGAAAUCUCCUCCACCUCCAGUCUACAUCUACGCUUCUCCCCCACCUCCCACCCAUUACUAGGCUCAUCAAAUUCAACCAAAUUUCCCCAUUAUUCAAGUAAGUCCCCACGGUCCAAAACGUUCAAGUUACUCUUUAUCACCCACUUCAAUAUUACUUUGUCCUAAAAUCUCAGUUUCUUUCUUCACAGGU